CUUCACAACUGCACAUAUACUAAAAUUGUAAAGAUGCAAAGAAGAUUAUCAUGGCUUCUGCACAAGAAUGAGAAGCAAAUUCCUGAAGCAUUCUGUACUUUU